GAUGAACGCUGGCGGCGUGCCUAAUACAUGCAAGUCGAACGAACAGACGAUACCCUUGCUUGCUACACCAUAGACGGUGAGUUGCGAAUGGGUGAGUAACGCGCAGCUAAUCUGCCUGGGAUCGGGGGAGAACAACUGGAAUCGUAAGCUAAUACAGCAUAAUAUUAAUUAUUGCACGGUAAUUAACUGAAUUGCGCAAUUGCAUCACUACCAGAGCGCCCCGCGUUGUAUUAGCUAGUAGGUGAGGUAACGGCUCACCCAGGCGACGAUGCAUAGCCGACCUGAGAGGGUGAUCGGCCACACUGGAACUGAGACACGGCCCAGACUCCUACGGGAGGCAGCAGUAGGGAAUCUUCGGCAAUGGGCGAAAGUCUGACCGAGCAACGCCGCGUGAGUGAAGAAGGUCUUCGGAUCGUAAAACUCUGUUAUUAGGGAAGAACAAAUGUGUAAGUAGAAAGUUCCGUCUGGACGGUAACUAUACAGAAAGGCAAGGGUAACUUAGGG
rnacentral:rRNA from 1 species